UACGUAGGCAGCGAGCGUUGUUCGGAAUUACUGGGCGUAAAGCGUAUGUAGGCGGAUCGUUAAGUCGGGGGUGAAAUCCCGAGGCUCAACCUCGGAACUGCCUUCGAUACUGGCGAUCUUCGAGUCCGGGAGAGGUGAGUGGAACUCCGAGUGUAGAGGUGAAAUUCGUAGAUAUUCGGAAGAACACCAGUGGCGAAGGCGGCUCACUGGCCCGGUACUGACGCUGAAAUACGAAAGCGUGGGGAGCAAACAGG
rnacentral:rRNA from 1 species